rnacentral:misc_RNA from 1 species
UAAAGAAUACAAAAUUUAACAUGGUUUGGUAUAAACCAAACAAAUUUACUAUCAAGAAAAAAUAAUUACAAUCACUCAUUAUUUUUGUCACCCUUACAAAUCACUUAAACAAAACUCAUGAAAUUCGAGACACCUCUCCACUUCGUGAGCUCUCUUAACAAUACAAAAGUCAACCAACUAUUCGUAUAUAUAGCUACCAAAAAUCUAGUCCUUUUGAAACUCUGAACUUUCUAUUUCAUCUAAUUUCCUAAUUAAUUUUAAUUCCUAAACUUGGACUCUAACAAAAAGUGAUUUAAGAGCCAUGCUGUCAACUACUAUACAAAGAGGCCUACAACCCUCUGUGGUGUUAUUAACCCAGAUUAGAUUAUACUCAAAAUUAACUAAUAAACCAUGAUGUUUACCCCAAUCUGCAGUUACAGCUAGCAGCUGCAGUCGUGAAGUUUCAUGCUGAUGGAAUACAAAUAAUCACAUAACAUAGAUGUGAAUUGGAAAAGCAUAAUCACUUGCACAGGAGAAUAUGCUACCUUCCUUUGGACUGAGAUUCUCUUAACUUGAGGAAAAUAUUACUUGAAAGGUACACACUUAAAACGCAAAAUUAGUUAAGCAUUCGGAAAAUUUCCAGAAUUUAAAAAAAAAAACCUAAGCAGGCACCAGGCAUCCUGAUAUAAUUUCAAACGUCUAAAAAAAGCUUCUAUCAUAAAAAAAAAAG